GAUGAACGCUGGCGGCGUGCCUAAUACAUGCAAGUCGAGCGAACAGACGAGGAGCUUGCUCCUCUGACGUUAGCGGCGGACGGGUGAGUAACACGUGGAUAACCUACCUAUAAGACUGGGAUAACUUCGGGAAACCGGAGCUAAUACCGGAUAAUAUAUUGAACCGCAUGGUUCAAUAGUGAAAGACGGUUUUGCUGUCACUUAUAGAUGGAUCCGCGCCGCAUUAGCUAGUUGGUAAGGUAACGGCUUACCAAGGCAACGAUGCGUAGCCGACCUGAGAGGGUGAUCGGCCACGCUGGAACUGAGAAACGGCCCAGACUCCUACGGGAGGCAGCAGUAGGGAAUCUUCCGCAAAGGGCGAAAGCCUGACGGAGCAACGCCGCGUGAGUGAUGAAGGUCUUCGGAUCGUAAAACUCUGUUAUUAGGGAAGAACAAAUGUGUAAGUAACUAUGCACGUCUUGACGGUACCUAAUCAGAAAGCCACGGCUAACUACGUG
rnacentral:rRNA from 1 species